AAAGUGCGAUAACUAGUGUGAAUUGCAGAAUUCUGUGAAUCAUCGAACUCUUGAACGCAUCCUGCGCCUUGAGGCUAUCCUCGAGGCACACUUGUUUGAGUGGCGACAAUAAUUCUCUAUCCAAAAAAAACUUUAAUUGCUUUUUGCAAUUUGAGCCUUUUUUUUUUGGGAUGAUGACAGUGUAGAGAAGCUUAAAGCUUUUCAACUCUGUUGAAAAAUAUAGGCUGAACUUGCUACUUCAGUGUAAGUUCCAUAAAAGGUUUGAGGAAUUUUAUAUUCCACUAUUCCCUUUUGGUCUUAUGCAUUCAUGAAGUAACUUGUAUACAGUUCAAAGGAACAACCUGAAAGGGGCUGAGCUUACCGCUCAUCCCUUUCACACCUAAUUUCGCCCUCAAAUCAAGUGGGAUUACCCCCUGAAUUUAAGC
rnacentral:misc_RNA from 1 species